rnacentral:tRNA from 1 species
ACUCAGUGGCCGAGUGGAUAACGCAAUUGCGUUUGAAGCGAAAGGUACUGAGUUCGAGUCUUGGGGUCA